AGAAGACUAGAUGAAAGAACUUUGAAUGUGUUUCACCAUAAAGAAAUGAUAAAUGUUUGAGGAGCUAUGUUUAUUUUGAGUUAAACAUUGCUUAAUAUAUACAUGUAUAGAAACAGCACGUGGUUCCCCAUUAAUAUGUACACCUUCUAGUUUUUAUGCAUCAGUUUUAAAAAUAGGGUUGUUGGCGGUAGCUCAGUGAUAGUGUGCUUAGCAUAUGUAAGGCCCUUGAUUUAAUCCCUAGCACCAAAAUAAAUACAUUUUAAUUUUUUAAAAAAAGGUAGAAAAUAUUCUUUUGUAGUUAAUAGACUGUAACUUACCCUACAAUUGGAGUACUCAAAACUGAAAUGACACUAAACAAAAUUAAAUCUUGUACUGGUGAUUAAGACACACACAAAUCCAAUCUUCAAUCCCACCUCAGCCCUGGGCUCUGAGUAUUUCUCAGAAGCCUGAGAAAUUCUGGGUGAGUUGUUUUCACACCUCACUGAGGUUCAGGGUUGCAAAGCAUCUUCUGGGAUGUGUUUCAUUACCCUUGAUUUCUUCACCAGGCUGCUGUCUCCUAAUACAACCUUAAACCGAGAAAAACAAAAUGGUGCUGUUCUCUGGGGUCCACACUAUCUUCGAAUACACUGUGUCCUAGCAGAAAUGGGAAGAGAAGCCAUUUCCCUGCAAGCCUGCCUCAUAGACUUUGAGGCCUUCCUAACUCUCCUCUGUUGAUUCUUCCUGCCUUUGGAGGCUAAGUUUCUCCUUAAGGAGCUUUCCUCUGCAGGCAAAGCUGCCAGACAUCUCUGGGUCACCAGCACCACCAAUGUGUCAAACAGGCCCACAUUCUAUUUAGGACCACCCCAGUGCUCCUCGGCCUCUCUGGCCAGGCACCUGCUUCAUAAUUGGGGGACUAUGGAGUUUAUUGUCUAAACCAGGACACUUCUGAGAGUGCUAAAAUGCUAAACCAGAUGGUACUUCAGGACAACAUGCAUAAACUAAGGAUGUAUGGUCACCCUACUCAAGACUGUAAUAC
rnacentral:lncRNA from 1 species